UCCAGACUCCUACGGGAGGCAGCAGUGGGGGAUAUUGCACAAUGGGGGAGACCCUGAUGCAGCGACGCCGCGUGUGGGAAGACGGUCCUCUGGAUUGUAAACCACUGUCCCCAGGGACGAAGAUGACGGUACCCGGGGAGGAAGCUCCGGCUAACUACGUGCCAGCAGCCGCGGUAAUACGUAGGGGGCAAGCGUUAUCCGGAUUUACUGGGUGUAAAGGGAGCGUAGGCGGCUGUGUAAGCCAGAAGUGAAAGCCCGGGGCUCAACUCCGGGACUGCUUUUGGAACUACAUGGCUCGAUUGCAGGAGAGGCAAGUGGAAUUCCUAGUGUAGCGGUGAAAUGCGUAGAUAUUAGGAGGAACACCAGUGGCGAAGGCGGCUUGCUGGACUGUAAAUGACGCUGAGGCUCGAAAGCGUGGGGAGCAAACAGGAUUAGAUACCCCUGUACC
rnacentral:rRNA from 1 species